GCCAAUAUAAUGAGCACAUCGAGAGAAAGAGCGGCACAAGCGACUGAGAACAUGAAUGCUUCUUUGUGUUCAACCUCAGCGUCUCUCCUUCGUUCUCUUCUUCAACCCCAGAAGGCUUCCUUCUUCUCUCCCACCAUAUCAAUGGGUCCCCCAGCACCAUUUGUUCUCUUCUUCAACCUCAACGUCUUCAACCCCAGAAGGUUUCCUUCUU
rnacentral:lncRNA from 1 species